UUUCUUUCUUUUUCUUCUUUUUCAUUUCCCGUCUCACACUUCUCUUCACUCCCUCAAACUCUCCAACCAGUACCUCCACACCCACCAUUUCCACCAUCAUUUUUCUGAAAAUGUCACCGGGAAAUCCUUAAGAACCUUUAAGCAUCUUCAUCUUUUAUUUGAGGUUCUAGUUAAUCUCCCUGGAGCUUAGAGAAUUAGGAUUUUGCGGUUGCGAGUUUUUCAGAUUUAUUAGCUAUACCUUGGGUGUGGAGCUUACUUCCUUGGUGAUGAUUAGAGUGCUAUGUUAAAUUUGGAGACUCUUAUUGUAAAUGGUUGGUGACUCGAUCUUGCUAUGUUCAUCAAGACCUUAAUUAAUUCUAUUGGAGGUUGGUCACUUGAGGUUUGUUAACCUUAGGCGUGGUAGGCAUAGACUUGAUAUUGAGAUUCCUUAUUCUUGAUAAGAUUGUGACUUUGUGUAAUCCAAUAGUUUUGUAAUAUAUAUUCAUGUAUUAUGUGGAGGCACAUGAUUUUUAGU